GAAUGGUCUAAGGGCUUCCCUCUUCCAAGUCCCCCUCAGGGGGUUUCGAAUAUGAGCUCGCUCUUUAUAUGCAUUUUUAAGACAGGAAGAGAGGUUGACACGAGAAGCUCCGAUUGAACGAGAGAUUGAGGAAGGGGAUCGAAAGGCUUUAUCUCCAAAGUGCCGGCUCUGAUUGGCUCAAUUGCUUUGAUUCGAUUGGUAAGACUUAUAUGACUCACUCGCUUAGACUGGAUUGCUGGCUUAGAAUAAAUCUCCAUAUUGACCAAUAGUUGGCUUGGUUCCGCUUUCUUAAGCAUCCAUUAGUGUUGGGGGUUUAAUAGAUGGAUUCACUUACUGCUGCUGGGAUUGCCUUCCGAAGGAGAGAGUUAGGUGUCGACCGGCUUUAUUUGAUUGCUUGAUUGUUGGGAUUGACAGCUUGAAUUGAGGGGCUGGUUACGGUUAAAGACUUCCAGCUGAGAAAGAUACAGAUAGCAUAUACAGAUUUAUAGGUCGAGGGGGCGGCAGAGAUCCAUUGAGAGGAAGGCAGAUUGGGAUAGAGGGAGAAGG
rnacentral:lncRNA from 1 species